GUAAUUAAGUGCAUGUGGUGGAUGCCUUGGCAGUCAGAGGCGAUGAAAGACGUGAUAGCCUGCGAAAAGCUCCGGGGAGGCGGCAAAUAUCCUUUGAUCCGGAGAUGUCUGAAUGGGGGAACCCACCUACUUUAAGGUAGGUAUUGCAACAUGAAUACAUAGUGUUGCAAGGCGAACGAGGGGAAGUGAAACAUCUCAGUACCCUUAGGAAAAGAAAUCAAUUGAGAUUCCCUCAGUAGCGGCGAGCGAACGGGGAUCAGCCCAUUAAGUUAUGUGUGUUUUAGUGGAACGCUCUGGGAAGUGCGAACGUAGAGGGUGAUAUUCCCGUACACGAAAGGGCACACAUAAUGAUGACGAGUAGGGCGAGGCACGUGAAACCUUGUCUGAAUAUGGGGGGACCAUCCUCCAAGGCUAAAUACUCCUGACUGACCGAUAGUGAACCAGUACCGUGAGGGAAAGGCGAAAAGAACCCCUGUGAGGGGAGUGAAAUAGAUCCUGAAACCGCAUGCAUACAAGCAGUGGGAGCACCUUCGUGGUGUGACUGCGUACCUUUUGUAUAAUGGGUCAGCGACUUAUAUUCAGUAGCGAGGUUAACCGUAUAGGGGAGCCGUAGAGAAAUCGAGUCUUAAUAGGGCGUUUAGUUGCUGGGUAUAGACCCGAAACCAGGCGAUCUAUCCAUGAGCAGGUUGAAGGUUGGGUAACACUAACUGGAGGACCGAACCCACUGUCGUUGAAAAGCCAGGGGAUGACUUGUGGAUAGGGGUGAAAGGCUAAUCAAGCCUGGUGAUAGCUGGUUCUCCCCGAAAGCUAUUUAGGUAGCGCCUCGGACGAAUACCAUAGGGGGUAGAGCACUGUUUCGGCUAGGGGGUCAUCCCGACUUACCAAACCGAUGCAAACUCCGAAUACCUAUGAGUACUAUCCGGGAGACAGACUGCGGGUGCUAACGUCCGUAGUCAAGAGGAAAACAAUCCAGACCGCCAGCUAAGGCCCCAAAAUCAUAGUUAAGUGGGAAACGAUGUGGGAAGGCAUAGACAGCUAGGAGGUUGGCUUAGAAGCAGCCACCCUUUAAAGAAAGCGUAAUAGCUCACUAGUCGAGUCGGCCUGCGCGGAAGAUGUAACGGGGCUAAAACUAUGUGCCGAAGCUGCGGAUGUAUACUUUGUAUACGUGGUAGGGGAGCGUUCUGUAAGCCGAUGAAGGUGUGUUGAGAAGCAUGCUGGAGGUAUCAGAAGUGCGAAUGCUGACGUGAGUAACGACAAAACGGGUGAAAAACCCGUUCGCCGAAAGACCAAGGGUUCCAGUCCAACGUUAAUCGGGGCUGGGUGAGUCGACCCCUAAGGCGAGGCCGAAAGGCGUAGUCGAUGGGAAAAUGGUUAAUAUUCCAUUACUUCUGUGUAAUGCGAUGAGAGGACGGAGAAGGCUAAAUCAGCCUGGCGUUGGUUGUCCAGGUGAAAGGAUGUAGGCAUGUAUCUUAGGCAAAUCCGGGGUACUCUAUGCUGAGAUCUGAUAGCAAGCUGUACUUGUACAGCGAAGUGGUUGAUGCCAUGCUUCCAGGAAAAGUCUCUAAGCUUCAGUUACACAGGAAUCGUACCCGAAACCGACACAGGUGGUCAGGUCGAGUAGACCAAGGCGCUUGAGAGAACUCUGCUGAAGGAACUAGGCAAAAUGGUACCGUAACUUCGGGAGAAGGUACGCUGUUGUUGGUGAUGGAACUUGCUUCCUGAGCUGACGACAGCCGCAGAAACCAGGCCGCUGCAACUGUUUAUUAAAAACAUAGCACUCUGCAAACACGAAAGUGGACGUAUAGGGUGUGAUGCCUGCCCGGUGCUGGAAGGUUAAUUGAUGGGGUUAGCGUAAGCGAAGCUCUUGAUCGAAGCCCCAGUAAACGGCGGCCGUAACUAUAACGGUCCUAAGGUAGCGAAAUUCCUUGUCGGGUAAGUUCCGACCUGCACGAAUGGCAUAAUGAUGGCGGCGCUGUCUCCAGCAGAGGCUCAGUGAAAUCGAAAUCGCUGUGAAGAUGCAGUGUACCCGCGGCUAGACGGAAAGACCCCGUGAACCUUUACUGCAGCUUGACACUGAACUUUGACCUUACUUGUGUAGGAUAGGUGGGAGGCUUUGAAGCUGGAACGCUAGUUCCAGUGGAGCCGUCCUUGAAAUACCACCCUGGUAAUGUUGAGGUUCUAACUCUGUCCCGUGAUCCGGGACGAGGACCGUGUCUGGUGGGUAGUUUGACUGGGGCGGUCUCCUCCUAAAGAGUAACGGAGGAGUACGAAGGUGCGCUCAGCGUGGUCGGAAAUCACGCGUAGAGUAUAAAGGCAAAAGCGCGCUUAACUGCGAGACCCACAAGUCGAGCAGGUACGAAAGUAGGUCUUAGUGAUCCGGUGGUUCUGUAUGGAAGGGCCAUCGCUCAACGGAUAAAAGGUACUCUGGGGAUAACAGGCUGAUACCGCCCAAGAGUUCAUAUCGACGGCGGUGUUUGGCACCUCGAUGUCGGCUCAUCUCAUCCUGGGGCUGAAGCAGGUCCCAAGGGUAUGGCUGUUCGCCAUUUAAAGAGGUACGCGAGCUGGGUUUAGAACGUCGUGAGACAGUUCGGUCCCUAUCUACCGUGGGCGCUGGAAAUUUGAGAGGAUCUGCUCCUAGUACGAGAGGACCAGAGUGGACGAACCUCUGGUGUACCGGUUGUGACGCCAGUCGCAUCGCCGGGUAGCUAUGUUCGGAAGGGAUAACCGCUGAAAGCAUCUAAGCGGGAAGCCUACCUCAAGAUAAGAUUUCCCUAGGACUUUAUGUCCUCUAAAGAGCCGUUCGAGACUAGGACGUUGAUAGGUUGGAUGUGGAAGCAUAGUGAUAUGUGAAGCUGACCAAUACUAAUUGCUCGUGAGGCUUGACUAU
rnacentral:rRNA from 1 species